rnacentral:tRNA from 1 species
UCUCCGUUAGUAUAGUGGCGAGUAUACCAGUCUGUCACAUUGGAGACCCGGGUUAAAUUCCCAGACAGAGAG